AGGUCGAGUAGACCAAGGCGCUUGAGAGAACUCUGCUGAAGGAACUAGGCAAAAUGGUACCGUAACUUCGGGAGAAGGUACGCUGUUGUUGGUGAUGGAACUGCUUCCUGAGCUGACGACAGCCGCAGAAACCAGGCCGCUGCAACUGUUUAUUAAAAACAUAGCACUCUGCAAACACGAAAGUGGACGUAUAGGGUGUGAUGCCUGCCCGGUGCUGGAAGGUUAAUUGAUGGGGUUAGCGUAAGCGAAGCUCUUGAUCGAAGCCCCAGUAAACGGCGGCCGUAACUAUAACGGUCCUAAGGUAGCGAAAUUCCUUGUCGGGUAAGUUCCGACCUGCACGAAUGGCAUAAUGAUGGCGGCGCUGUCUCCAGCAGAGGCUCAGUGAAAUCGAAAUCGCUGUGAAGAUGCAGUGUACCCGCGGCUAGACGGAAAGACCCCGUGAACCUUUACUGCAGCUUGACACUGAACUUUGACCUUACUUGUGUAGGAUAGGUGGGAGGCUUUGAAGCUGGAACGCUAGUUCCAGUGGAGCCGUCCUUGAAAUACCACCCUGGUAAUGUUGAGGUUCUAACUCUGUCCCGUGAUCCGGGACGAGGACCGUGUCUGGUGGGUAGUUUGACUGGGGCGGUCUCCUCCUAAAGAGUAACGGAGGAGUACGAAGGUGCGCUCAGCGUGGUCGGAAAUCACGCGUAGAGUAUAAAGGCAAAAGCGCGCUUAACUGCGAGACCCACAAGUCGAGCAGGUACGAAAGUAGGUCUUAGUGAUCCGGUGGUUCUGUAUGGAAGGGCCAUCGCUCAACGGAUAAAAGGUACUCUGGGGAUAACAGGCUGAUACCGCCCAAGAGUUCAUAUCGACGGCGGUGUUUGGCACCUCGAUGUCGGCUCAUCUCAUCCUGGGGCUGAAGCAGGUCCCAAGGGUAUGGCUGUUCGCCAUUUAAAGAGGUACGCGAGCUGGGUUUAGAACGUCGUGAGACAGUUCGGUCCCUAUCUACCGUGGGCGCUGGAAAUUUGAGAGGAUCUGCUCCUAGUACGAGAGGACCAGAGUGGACGAACCUCUGGUGUACCGGUUGUGACGCCAGUCGCAUCGCCGGGUAGCUAUGUUCGGAAGGGAUAACCGCUGAAAGCAUCUAAGCGGGAAGCCUACCUCAAGAUAAGAUUUCCCUAGGACUUUAUGUCCUCUAAAGAGCCGUUCGAGACUAGGACGUUGAUAGGUUGGAUGUGGAAGCAUAGUGAUAUGUGAAGCUGACCAAUACUAAUUGCUCGUGAGGCUUGACUAU
rnacentral:rRNA from 1 species